GAGGUACAUCAGACAAUCGCUCGCCUAUGGCGAGAGGAAAGUCCGGACACUAGUCGCCUAUGGCGAAAGAACGGUAGCGGGUAAUUCCCGUCCGCAGCAAUGCGAGAGGUGCGAGCAGCGACGGCUUUGGUUCGAAAGGACCGGCAAGCUAAACCCAAGCCAUUGACUUGAUCAACGGCUACAGCUUAACUCCGAUCGGGGAUACAAGAUCGGAAGUGAAACGGCUAAAUCCUUACUGGAGUGCAAGGUCAAACUGCCCCGCCAUUGGCGGCGCAAGACAAGUAGACCGCUUGACCUCGGCAGCAAUGCCGGGGCUAGAUAAAUGAUUGUCAUCCGCCUCCGUCAGCUGACGGAGGCGGAAACAGAACCCGGCUUACGAUGUACCGCCAAC
rnacentral:RNase_P_RNA from 2 species